rnacentral:rRNA from 1 species
ACCCCAAACCGACACAGGUGGUCAGGUAGAGAAUACCAAGGCGCUUGAGAGAACUCGGGUGAAGGAACUAGGCAAAAUGGUGCCGUAACUUCGGGAGAAGGCACGCUGAUAUGUAGGUGAAGUCCCUCGCGGAUGGAGCUGAAAUCAGUCGAAGAUACCAGCUGGCUGCAACUGUUUAUUAAAAACACAGCACUGUGCAAACACGAAAGUGGACGUAUACGGUGUGACGCCUGCCCGGUGCCGGAAGGUUAAUUGAUGGGGUCAGCGCAAGCGAAGCUCUUGAUCGAAGCCCCGGUAAACGGCGGCCGUAACUAUAACGGUCCUAAGGUAGCGAAAUUCCUUGUCGGGUAAGUUCCGACCUGCACGAAUGGCGUAAUGAUGGCCAGGCUGUCUCCACCCGAGACUCAGUGAAAUUGAACUCGCUGUGAAGAUGCAGUGUACCCGCGGCAAGACGGAAAGACCCCGUGAACCUUUACUAUAGCUUGACACUGAACAUUGAGCCUUGAUGUGUAGGAUAGGUGGGAGGCUUUGAAGUGUGGACGCCAGUCUGCAUGGAGCCGACCUUGAAAUACCACCCUUUAAUGUUUGAUGUUCUAACGUGGACCCGUGAUCCGGGUUGCGGACAGUGUCUGGUGGGUAGUUUGACUGGGGCGGUCUCCUCCUAAAGAGUAACGGAGGAGCACGAAGGUUGGCUAAUCCUGGUCGGACAUCAGGAGGUUAGUGCAAUGGCAUAAGCCAGCUUGACUGCGAGCGUGACGGCGCGAGCAGGUGCGAAAGCAGGUCAUAGUGAUCCGGUGGUUCUGAAUGGAAGGGCCAUCGCUCAACGGAUAAAAGGUACUCCGGGGAUAACAGGCUGAUACCGCCCAAGAGUUCAUAUCGACGGCGGUGUUUGGCACCUCGAUGUCGGCUCAUCACAUCCUGGGGCUGAAGUAGGUCCCAAGGGUAUGGCUGUUCGCCAUUUAAAGUGGUACGCGAGCUGGGUUUAGAACGUCGUGAGACAGUUCGGUCCCUAUCUGCCGUGGGCGCUGGAGAACUGAGGGGGGCUGCUCCUAGUACGAGAGGACCGGAGUGGACGCAUCACUGGUGUUCGGGUUGUCAUGCCAAUGGCACUGCCCGGUAGCUAAAUGCGGAAGAGAUAAGUGCUGAAAGCAUCUAAGCACGAAACUUGCCCCGAGAUGAGUUCUCCCUGACCCUUUAAGGGUCCUGAAGGAACGUUGAAGACGACGACGUUGAUAGGCCGGGUGUGUAAGCGCAGCGAUGCGUUGAGCUAACCGGUACUAAUGAACCGUGAGGCUUAACCUUACAACGCCGAAGGUGUUU